ACAGGCUCAGGCUGUGUUGUAAUUUAAUGGUUACUCUGUCUUUAGGGGAUUCUCAGUAGUGAGCAGUGAUAAAAUGGUUUCUAAUCUAUUCUUCUCUCUCUUCCUGGCAUUUGAUUUGGAGGGAAAAAUCCUUUUACUUCUAAUUAAUAGCCACACAACCAUCAACAAGCUUAAAGAAUAUGUCUUGUGGGGGAGGCUUCAAGAGAAGUCUCAGUGAUUAAAAGCACGUGUUUCUCGGGCUGGAGAGAUGGCUCAGAAGUUAAGAGUACUCACUGACUGUUCUUCCAGAGGUCCUGAGUUCAAUUCCCAGCACCCACAUGGUGGCUCAUAACCAUCUACAAGGAGAUCUGGUGCUCUCUUCCGGCCUGCAGACCAAACACUCAUUGGAAGAGCGCUGGGUAGGGAAA